rnacentral:rRNA from 1 species
GAUGAACGCUGGCGGUGUGCCUAAUACAUGCAAGUCGAACGAGACCUUCGGGUCUAGUGGCGGACGGGUGAGUAACACGUUGGUACCUGCCCUCAACUGGGGAAUAACUGGCCGAAAGGUCGGCUAAUACCGCAUAAUCCCGCAAGGGUAAAGUCGAAAGACGGUUGAGGAGGGGCCUGCGUCUGAUUAGCUAGUUGGUAGUGUAAUGGACUACCAAGGCUACGAUCAGUAGC